rnacentral:rRNA from 1 species
UGCAAGUCGAACGAUGACGGUGGUGCUUGCACCGCCUGAUUAGUGGCGAACGGGUGAGUAACACGUGAGUAACCUGCCCUCCACUUCGGGAUAACCUCGGGAAAUCGUGGCUAAUACCGGAUAUGAGCACUCAUCGCAUGGUGGGUGUUGGAAAGAUUUAUCGGUGGGGGAUGGACUCGCGGCCUAUCAGUUUGUUGGUGAGGUGAUGGCUCACCAAGACGAUGACGGGUAGCCGGCCUGAGAGGGCGACCGGCCACACUGGGACUGAGACACGGCCCAGACUCCUACGGGAGGCAGCAGUGGGGAAUAUUGCACAAUGGGCGAAAGCCUGAUGCAGCGACGCCGCGUGGGGGAUGACGGCCUUCGGGUUGUAAACCCCUUUCAGUAGGGAAGAAGCGAGAGUGACGGUACCUGCAGAAGAAGCGCCGGCUAACUACGUGCCAGCAGCCGCGGUAAUACGUAGGGCGCAAGCGUUGUCCGGAAUUAUUGGGCGUAAAGAGCUUGUAGGUGGCUUGUCGCGUCUGCCGUGAAAACCCGAGGCUCAACCUCGGGCGUGCGGUGGGUACGGGCAGGCUAGAGUGUGGUAGGGGAGACUGGAACUCCUGGUGUAGCGGUGAAAUGCGCAGAUAUCAGGAAGAACACCGAUGGCGAAGGCAGGUCUCUGGGCCAUUACUGACACUGAGAAGCGAAAGCAUGGGUAGCGAACAGGAUUAGAUACCCUGGUAGUCCAUGCCGUAAACGUUGGGCACUAGGUGUGGGGGACAUUCCACGUUUUCCGCGCCGUAGCUAACGCAUUAAGU